rnacentral:rRNA from 1 species
CAGUCGCCGCGGGAAUACAGAGGGUGCGAGCGUUAAUCGGAUUUACUGGGCGUAAAGCGUGCGUAGGCGGCUUUUUAAGUCGGAUGUGAAAUCCCUGAGCUUAACUUAGGAAUUGCAUUCGAUACUGGGAAGCUAGAGUAUGGGAGAGGAUGGUAGAAUUCCAGGUGUAGCGGUGAAAUGCGUAGAGAUCUGGAGGAAUACCGAUGGCGAAGGCAGCCAUCUGGCCUAAUACUGACGCUGAGGUACGAAAGCAUGGGGAGCAAACAGGAUUAGAGACCCGAGUAGUCCCUGUCUCUUAUAC